GGCGCCGGGAGCCUGGGAAAUGGAAUACCCCUACACAACCAAGAUGCUGAGUUCCUCCCUGAGCCCGCAAAACGGCACCUGGUCAGACACCAUCUCUCUGCUCUUAGCUCUUGGCGUUGCUCUCUACUUGGGCUACUACUGGGCAUGUGUGCCCCAGUGAAGUCCUCCAGACCCCAGAUGGAGGCCAGUUCCUUCUAGACUGGGCCGAGCAGCCUAACAGCACUCACUACCCGGACCCUACCACCCAGCCCAUAGUACUGCUGCUUCCAGGCAUCAGCGGCAGUAGCCAGGAGCCGUACAUCUUACACCUAGUUAACCAAGCUCUGAAGGAUGGCUAUAGGGCUGUUGUAUUUAAUAACCGAGGAUGCCGAGGGGAAGAGCUGCUGACUCACAGGGCUUACUGUGCCAGCAAUACUGAAGACCUAGAAACAGUUGUGAAGCACAUAAAACGUCGCUACUCCCAAGCUCCACUGCUGGCUGUGGGCAUCUCUUUUGGAGGGAUACUGGUGCUUAACUAUCUGGCACAGACUGGGAAGGCUGGAGGCUUGGUCGCAGGACUGACCAUUGUCUGCAUGUUGGGAUUCCUUUGAGACCGUUGACUCCUUGGAGACCCCACUCAACUCACUGCUCUUCAAUCAGCCACUCACUGCUGGACUCUGCCGGCUUGUGGCCAGGAACCGAAAGCCAAUUGAAAAGGUGUUGGAUGUAGACUUUGCGAUAAAGGCCCGCACGAUCCGCCAGCUGGAUGAGCGCUACACAUCUGUGGCUUUUGGGUAUAAAGACUGUGCGGCUUAUUACCAAGCCGCAAGCCCAAGAACCAAGGUAGAUGCCAUCCACACCCCUGUUCUCUGCCUCAAUGCAGCAGAUGACCCCUUCUCCCCAGUCCAUG
ensembl:processed_transcript Abhd1 abhydrolase domain containing 1